rnacentral:rRNA from 13 species
AUCUCCAAUCAAGCAAGAGGACCCGCUGAAUUUAAGCAUAUAAGUAAGCGGAGGAAAAGAAACUAACAAGGAUUCCCUCAGUAAGGGCGACUGAAGCGGGAAGAGCCCAUGUUGCCAAACCUUCGGGUGUUGUGCCAUGCGUGUCUUUUGUCUGGCCAGGAGUAAAUCCCUUGGAACAGGGUAUCAGAGAGGGUGACAAUCCCGUUCGCCUCUUGGCUUUGGCAAUUGUAGACCGUGUAACGGAGUCGAGUUGCUUGGGAUUGCAGCUCAAAGCGGGUGGUAAAUUCCAUCUAAGGCUAAAUACGGGUGGGAGACCGAUAGCGAACAAGUACUGUGAAGGAAAGAUG